rnacentral:rRNA from 1 species
GAUGAACGCUGGCGGCGUGCUUAACACAUGCAAGUCGAACGGGAAACCUUUUAUUGAAGCUUCGGCAGAUUUAGCUGGUUUCUAGUGGCGGACGGGUGAGUAACGCGUGGGUAACCCGCCUUAUACAGGGGGAUAACAACCAGAAAUGGUUGCUAAUACCGCAUAAGCGCACAGGACCGCAUGGUCCGGUGUGAAAAACUCCGGUGGUAUAAGAUGGACCCGCGUUGGAUUAGCUAGUUGGCAGGGUAACGGCCUACCAAGGCGACGAUCCAUAGCCGGCCUGAGAGGGUGAACGGCCACAUUGGGACUGAGACACGGCCCAGACUCCUACGGGAGGCAGCAGUGGGGAAUAUUGCACAAUGGGGGAAACCCUGAUGCAGCGACGCCGCGUGAAGGAAGAAGUAUCUCGGUAUGUAAACUUCUAUCAGCAGGGAAGAUAGUGACGGUACCUGACUAAGAAGCCCCGGCUAACUACGUG